GAUCACUUAAAAUCUACUCUGUUAGUGAUUUUCAAGUAUUUACUACAUUUUUUUUCUUUUUUGAGACAGGAUCUUGCUCUGCCACCCAGGCUGGAGUACAGUGGCAUGCUCACAGCUCAGUGUAGCCUCAAACUCCUGGGCUCAAGCUAUCCUCCCUCUUCAGCCUUCAUAGUAGCCGGGACCACAGGUAACCCAACCUAUCAUUGGUGGCAGGAAAGGUGAAGAAAGUCAAGGCUAAAAUGAAAUUGUGGAGCUGGAUCACCUGCCAGGUGUGUUGAAAUGAGGACCCCAUCACUGGUCAUAGUGGAGAAAAUGUAGUUCCCGACACAAGGUAGCAAAGCAAUAGUCAUGUUUUGUAUACUGAUAUCGUAUAGCAUUGGAAGAAAAUGCACUCG
rnacentral:lncRNA from 1 species